rnacentral:rRNA from 1 species
UACGAAGGGUGCAAGCGUUACUCGGAAUUACUGGGCGUAAAGCGUGCGUAGGUGGUUCGUUAAGUCUGAUGUGAAAGCCCUGGGCUCAACCUGGGAAUUGCAUUGGAUACUGGCGGGCUAGAGUACGGUAGAGGGUGGCGGAAUUCCUGGUGUAGCAGUGAAAUGCGUAGAUAUCAGGAGGAACACCAGUGGCGAAGGCGGCUCACUGGCCCGGUACUGACGCUGAGGUGCGAAAGCGUGGGGAGCAAACAGG